GGAACUGUGCCCGAAUGCCCAGGGACCACUUUGAUAGAGUGACCAACGGAGGUUAAAAUCCCCCCAGUUCUU
rnacentral:tRNA from 1 species